GAUGAACGCUAGCUACAGGCUUAACACAUGCAAGUCGAGGGGAAACGACAUCGAAAGCUUGCUUUUGAUGGGCGUCGACCGGCGCACGGGUGAGUAACGCGUAUCCAACCUGCCCAUCACUUGGGGAUAACCUUGCGAAAGUAAGACUAAUACCCAAUGAUAUCUCUAGAAGACAUCUGAAAGAGAUUAAAGAUUUAUCGGUGAUGGAUGGGGAUGCGUCUGAUUAGCUCGUUGGCGGGGUAACGGCCCACCAAGGCGACGAUCAGUAGGGGUUCUGGGAGGAAGGUCCCCCACAUUGGAACUGAGACACGGUCCAAACUCCUACGGGAGGCAGCAGUGAGGAAUAUUGGUCAAUGGGCGAGAGCCUGAACCAGCCAAGUAGCGUGCAGGAAGACGGCCCUAUGGGUUGUAAACUGCUUUUAUAAGGGAAUAAAGUGAGUCUCGUGAGACUUUUUGCAUGUACCUUAUGAAUAAGGACCGGCUAAUUCCGUGCCAGCAGCCGCCGUAA
rnacentral:rRNA from 1 species